rnacentral:rRNA from 1 species
CUUGAUAGCCCCCUACAUCCGCUAUCCGCCCGGGUACUACGAGCACUAGCUUAAAACCCAAAGGACUUGGCGGUGCUUUAGACCCCCCUAGAGGAGCCUGUUCUAGAACCGAUAACCCCCGUUAAACCUCACCCUCUCUUGUUCUUCCCGCCUAUAUACCGCCGUCGUCAGCUUACCCUGUGAAGGCCCUAUAGUAAGCAAAACCAGCACAACUCAAAACGCCAGGUCGAGGUGUAGCAUAUGAGAGGGGAAGAAAUGGGCUACAUUCCCUGCCCCAGGGAACACGAACAAUGUAAUGAAACACACAUUAGAAGGAGGAUUUAGCAGUAAGCAGAAAAUAGAGCG